UGUGUCAGGGCGUCUCCGUGUAACUGAGUCAAGUGACUUCGGAUUAGUUGUUGUUGCCACGUGUUACUUAUUGAACUCUUAUGCCUCAUAAUCAAAUUAUCUAAGUGCAACCGAACGGUUGUCCUGCGCUCUCACGGCCUGGUGAUAAACGUUUCUCACCAUUAUCAUUUCCUGGAUGGGUGCUGGGAAUAAGAUGUGUACCACAACUGGCAAGACCAUUCAAUCUUAUGAAAUCACCAUUAUAUGUGUGCUACACCAUUGACUAUAUGGCCAAUGACUGUUUGCACACAUACAGACACUAAAAAUAGUACAAAGCUGUUUUUCAGAAAACUAUUAGGGGUGGCUGCCUCUGGAGGUGACAGGAGAUCAGAGGCUAGCUAAAGCAGGGCCAACACAACCCAUCAUGUCACUAUAACUGAGCCGUGAUCUGUCCUACCAUGGAUUACACGUUACAUCAGUCUUUACUUGGUAUGUGAGUUUGGUUCUUGCUUGUAUUAGAUUUGUACACUCUCCUGAGCAAAGAUCUGAAAUGAGACUCGAUUUUCCAGUGAAACUCCAUAUCCUGGAGCGAGCUGGAGUGGUUAAUCAUUAGCCAGUAUGAACAACCCCUAAUGAUACCAGAAACUAAUUAUUCAUUGCCCCUUACAAGAAGCAAGAAUAGAUGAUGCCAUAGCCUAGGAGCAGAUGACCAGAUGUGAAAAAGUAAAACCAUUUAUCCUGA